rnacentral:rRNA from 1 species
CCUACGGGUGGCAGCAGUGAGGAAUAUUGGUCAAUGGACGAGAGUCUGAACCAGCCAAGUAGCGUGAAGGAUGACUGCCCUAUGGGUUGUAAACUUCUUUUAUAUGGGAAUAAAACGUUCCACGUGUGGGAUUUUGUAUGUACCAUAUGAAUAAGGAUCGGCUAACUCCGUGCCAGCAGCCGCGGUAAUACGGAGGAUCCGAGCGUUAUCCGGAUUUAUUGGGUUUAAAGGGAGCGUAGGUGGAUUGUUAAGUCAGUUGUGAAAGUUUGCGGCUCAACCGUAAAAUUGCAGUGGAAACUGGCAGUCUUGAGUACAGGAGAGGUGGGCGGAAUUCGUGGUGUAGCGGUGAAAUGCUUAGAUAUCACGAAGAACUCCGAUUGCGAAGGCAGUUCACUGGACUGCAACUGACACUGAGGCUCGAAAGUGUGGGUAUCAAACAGGAUUAGAUACCCUUGUAGUC